rnacentral:rRNA from 1 species
CGUAACACGGUACGGGUAACCUCGAACCCAAAAGGGAGGGGGAAUAACCUACGUUAGGAAACGAGGUUGACUUAACUACCCGCAACUAACCAUGAUCGACCGCAGUGGUCUAUUAUGUAAAAGAUGGUUUCGGCUAUCACUUUUGGAUGGACCCGCGGCGUAUUAACUUGUUGGUGGGGUAACGGCCUACCAAGGUAAUGAUACGUAGCCGAACUGAGAGGUUGAUCGGCCACAUUGGGACUGAGACACGGCCCAAACUCCUACGGGAGGCAGCAGUAGGGAAUCUUCCACAAUGGGCGCAAGCCUGAUGGAGCAACGCCGCGUGAGUGAAGAAGGUCUUCGGAUCGUAAAACUCUGUUGUUAGAGAAGAACAUGCGAGAGAGUAACUGUUCUUGUAUUGACGGUAUCUAACCAGAAAGCCACGGCUAACUACGUGCC